rnacentral:rRNA from 1 species
UACGUAGGGUGCAAGCGUUGUCCGGAAUUAUUGGGCGUAAAGAGCUCGUAGGCGGUUUGUCGCGUCUGGUGUGAAAAUCCAGGGCUUAACCCUGGACCUGCAUCGGGUACGGGCAGACUAGAGUGCGGUAGGGGAGAUCGGAAUUCCUGGUGUAGCGGUGAAAUGCGUAGAGAUCGGGAGGAACACCAGAGGCGAAGGCGGCGACCUGGACAAGCACUGACACUCAACUACGAAAGCGUGGGGAGCAAACAGG